rnacentral:rRNA from 1 species
GAUGAACGCUGGCGGCGUGCCUAAUACAUGCAAGUCGAGCGAACAGACGAGGAGCUUGCUCCUCUGACGUUAGCGGCGGACGGGUGAGUAACACGUGGAUAACCUACCUAUAAGACUGGGAUAACUUCGGGAAACCGGAGCUAAUACCGGAUAAUAUAUUGAACCGCAUGGUUCAAUAGUGAAAGACGGUUUUGCUAUCACUUAUAGAUGGAUCCGCGCCGCAUUAGCUAGUUGGUAAGGUAACGGCUUACCAAGGCAACGAUGCGUAGCCGACCUGAGAGGGUGAUCGGCCACACUGGAACUGAGACACGGUCCAGACUCCUACGGGAGGCAGCAGUAGGGAAUCUUCCGCAAUGGGCGAAAGCCUGGCGGAGCAACGCCGCGUGAGUGAUGAAGGUCUUCGGAUCGUAAAACUCUGUUAUUAGGGAAGAACAAAUGUGUAAGUAACUAUGCACGUCUUGACGGUACCUAAUCAGAAAGCCCCGGCUAACUACGUG